AACGAACGCUGGCGGCAGGCCUAACACAUGCAAGUCGAGCGAGGACUUCGGUUCUAGCGGCGGACGGGUGAGUAACGCGUGGGAAUGUGCCCUUCUCUACGGAAUAGCCCUGGGAAACUGGGAGUAAUACCGUAUACGCCCUAUUGGGGAAAGAUUUAUCGGAGAAGGAUCAGCCCGCGUUGGAUUAGGUAGUUGGUGGGGUAAUGGCCUACCAAGCCGACGAUCCAUAGCUGGUUUGAGAGGAUGAUCAGCCACACUGGGACUGAGACACGGCCCAGACUCCUACGGGAGGCAGCAGUGGGGAAUCUUAGACAAUGGGGGCAAUCCUGAUCUAGCCAUGCCGCGUGAGUGAUGAAGGCCGUAGGGUUGUAAAGCUCUUUCAGCUGGGAAGAUAAUGACGGUACCAGCAGAAGAAGCCCCGGCUAACUCCGUG
rnacentral:rRNA from 1 species